rnacentral:sRNA from 1 species
AUCCCGCGGGCAAUCUAAAACUAUACAGGAGGAUAAGCGUAUG